AGCGAACGCUGGCGGCAGGCUUAACACAUGCAAGUCGAGCGGGCAUCUUCGGAUGUCAGCGGUAGACGGGUGAGUAACACGUGGGAACGUACCCUUCGGUUCGGAACAACUCUGGGAAACUGGAGCUAAUACCGGAUACGCCCUUAUGGGGAAAGGUUUACUGCCGAAGGAUCGGCCCGCGUCUGAUUAGCUAGUUGGUGGGGUAACGGCCUACCAAGGCGACGAUCAGUAGCUGGUCUGAGAGGAUGAUCAGCCACACUGGGACUGAGACACGGCCCAGACUCCUACGGGAGGCAGCAGUGGGGAAUAUUGGACAAUGGGCGAAAGCCUGAGCCAGCCAUGCCGCGUGAGUGAUGAAGGCCUUAGGGUUGUAAAGCUCUUUUGUCCGGGACGAUAAUGACGGUACCGGAAGAAUAAGCCCCGGCUAACUUCGUG
rnacentral:rRNA from 1 species